GAAAAAAGUAAAUGUUAGAAGACCCACUUCAGUUGAAGCAGUGGCAUCAAUAACGUAUUUUUUUAAGCUGUAAUCUUUUUCCCUUUAUGGACGUUUGUCUUUGAACUGAUGAUUGUGUACGACAGAGGUUGUUCUGCAGAAUACCUGUCGCGUGUUAGUACUGUCUACUGUCUUAUUGUCUUAUUUCUUUACCUCAGACAAGUUCAUGAAUGCUCCUGCAGGGCACUUUUGAUGACACCAGUUCAGGGGAAACCAGAGCAGAUAAAUGGAAAUGAGGGAGACAAGAUGACAUUUAACAAAAGUCCCGGCUAGACUCACCAUUCAUUUGUAGAAGGAUCUUUAGAGACAUUAUUAUUAGUAUUCAAGCCAUCAUUGAUUUAUUAGAGUCACGUUUUAAAUCUGUAAACUCCUUGACAUACUAUCCAGUUAAUUGGACUAAUCCACUUUAUUGUCCAUUUUAACAGCUACAUCAUCCAGGGUACACAUAAUUUAUUUUUAAGUGACUUAAAAGUGCACAAAUGCAGUAAUCUGACUGUGUAACAAUACGUGCAGUAAUAACUACUCUAAGACGGAUAUGAACACUUUACUUACUUUACAUUGUGUUUGCUGUCAUGUAUCUCCGCUUUGACUUUUGAAUGUGAAUGUUCCUUUUGUCCCCGAGGACUCAUAACUAAAUUAGCAAAUGGCAUGAAUAAAUAUUAUUCUUUGUGUAGAUAAAUAUAAUCUAGUUCAUAUGAAUAGGUUCAAAUUAAUAAUGUGUAAAUUUAGACUCAACCAAACUGUGGAAACACUUUAUAACAUCCAAUGACAGUAGAAAGGCUUUCACAAAAGAACUUAACUAUUCAGCAAUCAUUCAAAUAUUUUCAAUAAACAUCACGUGUCUUUAAAUCGUUAAUGUAAUUUUGAAUGUAUCGUAAACAUACAGGUAAAUGCUGUAGGUAUACUGUGUGCAAAUAUGACCGGGAGAGUGUAACUUCAUUGAACACAUGAACACCUUUUUGUGCCAUCUUCUUACCAUUUACCUUUGAUCAUCUUACAUCUGACCAAAACAAACCUUUUAAAUUGAAGCACAGUUUGUUAAGAAAACGCCUCAUUACUCUGAUUUUGUAUAAUGUCUUUGUCACACAGAAAGAGUUUCUCUCCUGCUGGAACUUCAUUGUUGUAUGUUCAUGUUGUCAUUGUAGAUACCAUUGAAAGCUGUGCACUGUGUGAAGCUAUGUACUUCCAAGGAAUAUUAUACAAAGAUUUGUUGAAAUAAAAAUAAAUGGAUAAAAGAGAGA
ensembl:lncRNA